AUUGAACGCUGGCGGCAUGCCUUACACAUGCAAGUCGAACGGCAGCACGGGAGCAAUCCUGGUGGCGAGUGGCGAACGGGUGAGUAAUAUAUCGGAACGUGCCCAGUCGUGGGGAUAACGUAGCGAAAGCUACGCUAAUACCGCAUACGAUCUAUGGAUGAAAGCGGGGGAUCGCAAGACCUCGCGCGAUUGGAGCGGCCGAUAUCAGAUUAGGUAGUUGGUGAGGUAAAGGCUCACCAAGCCGACGAUCUGUAGCUGGUCUGAGAGGACGACCAGCCACACUGGGACUGAGACACGGCCCAGACUCCUACGGGAGGCAGCAGUGGGGAAUUUU
rnacentral:rRNA from 1 species